GCUGGCUGAGGAAUUCUGGGUGUUGAAGUCCACAAGUCUUAAAGUUGCCAAGUUUGGGAGACCUUUGGUUUAGAUGUAGCUCCUUGAAGGUUGUAGGUGGCAGUAAAAAGGAGUACUUUAUUGGGAACUAAGUAUUUAAUUGGAUCUGUGUUAAUUAGGACAAUGCAGUGCUCUGGAAAUAAUUUGGAAAAGCUAUUUUGGAGCAGCUAAAAAGACGAACAUAACCCUUGUUGACAACUCUUUAAAGCAGCCACAUCUUUUUCUUGAUAAGACAUAAACAUCUUCUGCAGUUACCCAUGACCGAGGCAUUCCUGCUGUAAAAGAGUUGUUGACAGGCUCAUUGUUCUCACUUCUAUGCCCCUUUUUGCAAUUGAAUCCAGAGAAUUAUCCAGGUGGAGUGUCCAUGACCGAGAAAGGACUUGGCAUGUGGAAAGAAAAACCCUUAUUUUCCCCUAUUCAUAGGCUCUUGGGCUAAAGAAGGCACAUCUUGAGAAAGUUCUUGUUUUUCGGACAGAAACCUGGGGUUCUGUAGUAGAUAUAGGAAUGGGAUGGAGAAAUAAAUGGACAAUGUAGCACGUUUUAUUUGUCCAAGUUCUGACUAGCCCAAUAUGGCCACUGGAUGGAUUUCUAGGUAGAGUUGGUUUGCAUACCCAACAUAAUGAAGGGGCAAAGACGACUAUUUUAAUUUACUCCAUGUCUGCAAGUAACCAUGUCAGGAAGAAAGGUAGUAGUAACUAUUUUAGCAGGGAACGUUCAGUGAGUUAUUUCUCUUGCUAUUUCUUCUGAUUACUCAGGGGAGAUUCAAAGCCAGAAAAGUUGAAUCAAACAAGGCAUUCCAAACAACGAUUAAUUCGAAACUGUAGUUCUUGCUUGGAUUUUACCUCUUGCUUUCAUCUCUGUUGCUGUCUUUUCUUAAGAUCUUUGAUGAUCUAGUAAUUUCUAUUUUAUAGGCUAUAAUUGAUAUUCCUCAAAUUUUUAUUAUAAGAGGUCAUUCUAGCUUUGUUCCAUUCUCUGCUGUCUUUUGACCUCAAGCUGUGUAUCCUUGCUCUUUAAUAAUUAAUUAAUUAAUUACUUAAUAAGAGACAUUUCCAGUAACUCCAAUUUGUCCAUUAGAUACUAAUAAUUUAGUAAUGAUGAUACCAUAUGAUGUUCAACAACAUCAAUCAAAAGCAGGGAUAUUCAACCUUGGCAUCUUUAAGGCUCAUGAACUUCAGUGUCCAGAAUUCCCUAUAGCCAGCAUGGCUAGCUGGUGAGAAUUCUGGGAGUUGAAGUCCACAAGACUUAAAGUUGCCAAGUUUGGGGACUUCCGGUUUAGAAAUACCGGUUUUCUGCAGUUGACUUUUGAGUUGUAUGGAAAAUAGUGCUUUCCGAAAGAUCUCCCGCAUGUGUGUUGUGUUCUUGACUUUGUGAAAUAUUUUUGCCAAUCCCCUAAUCUUUUCCCCUGCCCCUCAAAAAAAAAAAAAAAAAUAGAAGGUGCACAUGAUUUAAACUGAUUCUAUUUUGCUUUUUUUUUUUUUUGUCUUGAUUUCAGGGGUUAGUUCCUAAAGUUCAUACCUUUGCAUCCACUAUCUCAGGUCCCUUUAAAAUGAUAAAUGCUUCAGGGAUUUUUAAUGCCACUUGAGAAUGGCAGACCAAAUGUAAUAUUUAUAUGCAAUGAACUAUUUAGUUUUUUUGUAUUGUAAAAAAAAAAUAUGUAAAUUUGUAAAGAUUUUUUUUCCUAGAGUUUUUUCUUUUCUUCCUUGGGGCGGGUGGGUUAAAAGACGGGAUGGGAAUGAAUUGGGAGGGUGAGGAAUGUCACAAUGUAAUUUAGGAUGUUUCAUUUUCCAGCUCUGGGAUUAUCUUAA